GACGAACGCUGGCGGCGUGCUUAACACAUGCAAGUCGAACGAAGUGGCGAACGGGUGAGUAAUACGUGGGUAACCUGCCCUCCUUUUUGGGAUAAGCCUUGGAAACGUGGUCUACUACCGAAUAAAGGGGGAUGGGCUCGCGGCCUAUCAGCUUGUUGGUGGGGUGAUGGCCUACCAAGGCGGUGACGGGUAGCCGGCCUGAUAGGGGGACCGGUCACAUUGGGAGUGAGAGACGGCCCAGACGACUAAGGGGGGCAGCAGGGGGUGAUAUUGAACAAUGGGCGAAAGCCGGAUGAAGCAACGCCGCGUGGGGGAUGAAGGCUUUCGGGUUGUAAACCUAGUUCGCGACCGAACGGGGAGGUGGAGAAGAAGCGCCGGCUAACUACGUGCCAGCCGCCGCGGUAAUAC
rnacentral:rRNA from 1 species